GUAUCUGAAGUCUGACGGGGAUGAGAACCUCCGGGGGCAAGAGGUUCGACUCGAGCGAAGCGAGAGAACGUUGCGUCAGCAACGGCCCGCAGUGGCAAGUCAUCCUCUGUCACCGGCAG
rnacentral:sRNA from 1 species